rnacentral:tRNA from 1 species
UUUAUAUAGUUUAAUGAAAACGUUACAUUUUCAUUGUAAAAUAAAAUAUUACUAUUUUAUAA